rnacentral:rRNA from 1 species
ACUUAAAUUGAAGAGUUUGAUCAUGGCUCAGAUUGAACGCUGGCGGCAGGCCUAACACAUGCAAGUCGAGCGGUAACACAGAGAGCUUGCUCUCGGGUGACGAGCGGCGGACGGGUGAGUAAUGUCUGGGAAACUG